CAGAGGACCGGCCCCCUCCAGGCUCCUCCGGCCCACAGGAAACAGUCAUCGCCGAGGAAGAGGUCAACUUACUGGGGAGGGCUCCAGGCGCCCCCCGGUGGCGAAAAGCAUCGUAUCUCUAGUGGGCGUAACACCACAUCAUGGGUUCAGAUUCCUCGACAUCAUGUUCCGGCAGCUCAACGUCCCCGCGCGCUUCUCCUGGAGGUCCGUCUGUGGAGGCUGCGCGCGCACCACGCGGUUCAACUUGCCGUCAGAAACGACCGCGAUGACGUUGAUGAAUAUGAUGAUGACCAUGAUGAAGAUGACCGUCGAAGCUGCGGGUUCGUGAGCGGAACGUCGUCGGACCCAGACGGAGCCACGCGCCUCUUCGUGUGGAUGACGGAUUGCUCAGCGGUCAGGGCAGUCCCCCCGCGGACCCUCAACACUCCACCUCCCCGCCUCACCCCUCCUCACCCCGCCUCACCCCGCCUCACCCCGCGGACCGCUGACCGAGGAGCGGAGACAUGAAAAGUUUAUUUCUGCUCACCUUCUGCCUCUCCGCGGAUCCCUUCACGGUGAUUGGACGCCACCCAACGUGUAACUUCCUGUUGGAGCUGGAGCGAGAUCAGGCUGAGUGCUCCACGCGUCUGAAGAACCAGAACCUCAGCACCACGGCAACAGG